rnacentral:snRNA from 1 species
AUCUGCCACAUCAGAUUAAA